rnacentral:rRNA from 1 species
UACGAAGGGUGCAAGCGUUGUUCGGAUUUAUUGGGCGUAAAGCGCGCGCAGGCGGAUUCGUAAGUCAGGUGUGAAAUCCCGGGGCUUAACCCCGAAAGUGCGCCUGAAACUGCGGAUCUAGAAUACUGGAGAGGGAAGGGGAAUUUCUCAUGUAGGGGUAAAAUCCGUAGAUAUGAGAAGGAACACCGGAGGCGAAGGCGCCUUCCUGACAGUGAUUGACGCUGAGGUGCGAAAGCGUGGGGAGCAAACAGG